CCUACGGGAGGCAGCAGUAGGGAAUAUUGGGCAAUGGGCGAAAGCCUGACCCAGCGACGCCGCGUGAGGGAUGAAGGCCUUCGGGUUGUAAACCGCUUUCAGCAGGGAAUAAGCGCAAGUGAAGGUACCUGCAGAAGAAGCACCGGCUAACUAUGUGCCAGCAGCCGCGGUAAUACAUAGGGUGCAAGCGUUGUCCGGAAUUAUUGGGCGUAAAGAGCUCGUAGGUGGUUCGAUACGUCGGAUGUGAAAAUCAGGGGCUCAACCCCUGACCUGCAUCCGAUACGGUCGAGCUAGAGUUUGGUAGGGGAGACUGGAAUUCCUGGUGUAGCGGUGGAAUGCGCAGAUAUCAGGAGGAACACCGAUGGCGAAGGCAGGUCUCUGGGCCAAUACUGACACUGAGGAGCGAAAGCGUGGGGAGCGAACAGGAUUAGAUACCCUGGUAGUCCACGCCGUAAACGGUGGGCGCUAGUUGUGCGAACCUUCCACGGUUUGUGCGACGCAGCUAACGCAUUAAGCGCCCCGCCUGGGGAGUACGAUCGCAAGAUUAAAACUCAAAGGAAUUGACGG
rnacentral:rRNA from 1 species